GGGCCCGUAGGGUAGUUCGGAUAUCCUUCCGGUCUUCGGAACCGGAGACCCGCGUUCGAACAGUCGACGCGUUCA
rnacentral:tRNA from 1 species